rfam:Nomascus leucogenys chromosome 25, whole genome shotgun sequence.
GCUGGGUGUGGUGGCGCAUGCCUGUAAUCCCAGCUACUCAGGAGGCUGAGGCAGGAGAAUCGCUUGAACCCAGGAAGCGGAGGUUGCAGUGAGCUGAGGUUGCGCCACUGCACUCCAGCCUGGGUGACAGAGUGAGACUCUGUCUCAA